rnacentral:rRNA from 1 species
GAUGAACGCUGACAGAAUGCUUAACACAUGCAAGUCUUUGGCGAAGCUGUGCUUGCACAGCCUAGCCAAGGCGGACGGGUGAGUAACGCGUAAGGAACUUGCCCUGCAGUCAGGGAUAACAGACGGAAACGACUGAUAAGACCUGGUAAAGUCAGGCGGACUCAUGUCCAGCCUGAUGAAAAGAGAUGCUGCAGGAGAGCCUUGCGUCCUAUUAGCUUGUUGGUGGGGUAACGGCCCACCAAGGCGAUGAUAGGUAGCCGGCCUGAGAGGGUGGACGGCCACAAGGGGACUGAGAUACGGCCCUUACUCCUACGGGAGGCAGCAGGGGGGAAUAUUGGAAAAGGGGGGCAACACUGAUCCAGCAAUUCUGUGUGCACGAUGAAGGUUUUCGGAGUGUAAAGUGCUUUCAGCAGGGAAGAAAAAAAUGACGGUACCUGCAGAAGAAGCGACGGCUAAAUACGUG